GCCCGGACUUGAAACUCCAAAUCAUCAAAGUUAUCAUCAUUGGAAACCACUCUUCAUUAAUUCAUAUCAUCAUAUUUUAUAUCAUUUAUAUCAUCAUAUUUUCCCAUUCAUUGUUUUGUAAACAAAGAAGAAAGUUGUCAUAUUCUUAUGAAAUAACUCUGUUAACAGGCAAGGUUGCCACCCUGCCCUAUUAAUCAAAUAACAUUAAGAUAAUAGACAAUGUUGCCACCUAGUCUUAAGUCUAUAACAUUUGCAUAUGUUGCUCAAAUAGUAAUGAAGCAAAUAAAGAAGGCGAGCUGCGGCUAACAUUAGACGCUAGCAAACCCCCAUAGUGUACAGAUGUGCACAAACUUUAAAAAAUAGCCUGCCAGUGCACUUGCUGGAGAUCGUGCCUCGCCGGAUGAAGCCCUGCCUUAUGCCAAUUGCACUGCACACGCUACAACUUAACACCAACGCAGAUACCACACGCAGAACAACGCAGUAAACUCGGACCCCGGAAUCUCCAGAUAACAACCCACACACACGCACAACAAGUCAACACAUCAACAACAACUCGGAAAACUGAGCCCACUAACUUCAACACAGCAACUACUUUUUUGCAACAGCAACCCAUGUGCAUAUUAGAGCUGAGAAUGGACUGGCGCGUAUCUUACUGCCGGAUUGUCCUGACAGUGCUGAGCGCACAUGUAAUCACAAUCCAUUGUAGCUAGCAUCCCUGCCUCCAAAGCCUGCCAGUGCACUUUCUGGUGAUCGUGCCUCUUCGGUUGAAGUUCUGCCAUAUGCCAACUGCUUCGCGUACAUUGCAACUAAACAUCAACGCAGAUACCACACGGACUCAAGGGAUCUCAAGAUGACAACCCAGUCAUCACAUCAUUAAUUCAUCACAAUCAAAUUUUCAUUCUACUUUAUUUAAACUUAUUGUUUGUAAACACUAAUGUUGCCACAUCGUCCAUAAGACACAACCAUACAUGUAACAAUUCACUCUCCAGCCAUCUCGAACACAUUCACACCGCCAGCCCGGACUUGAAACUCCAGAUCAUCAAAAACUUAUCACCCACGCAUCAUCGGAAACCACUCCUCGUUAAAUUAAUAUAAAUUAAUCAUAUUUUGCC